GUCUUUCUAGUAUACCCUAGUACAGCUGACUUCCAAUCAGCCAGACUGAGCUUCCCCUCAGGAAUGACA
rnacentral:tRNA from 1 species